CUCCAUGGACUCCGAAAUCUCCUUCUCGUUCUCGCCGGCCACAAACUGAGCGUAGACCGUGGAUCUCAUCAGCGAGGAGAACACGCGCCUGCCCAGAAUGCUGCGGGCCGCCGACAUCAGCUGCCAAAGGGACGCAUGACCAGUUGUUGACAAGCACGGGGAAGGAGCAAAAUCGGAACACGGCCAAGGCGCGACACAACUCUUUCAGGCUCUUCACCCGGAAUGCGCUGGGAUCCUCGAAGGUCAAAGAGGCAGCCAGGAGGUUGGGCGGCUUGCCCACGGCCGCAGCCUGCACGAUCCUGGGGGCGGCGGUGGACAUGAGUCUCGUGGAGAGCAGGUAGAGGCGCGAGGAGCACAUGCGAGUCAUCUUGGCUGUGUGAAGUUCACGUCAGGAUUCCUUAAGUGAGUGUUGCUUGUUUACACAAUUUCAGGUUUGUUCCAAUGUCAACAUGCAG